rnacentral:rRNA from 1 species
AUGAACGCUGGCGGCGUGCUUAAUACAUGCAAGUCGAACGGAGAAUCUUUGUAGCAAUACGGAGGUUCUUAGUGGCGAACGGGUGCGUAACGCGUUGGUGACCUGCCCUAAAGUGUGGGAUAACAGUCCGAAAGGACUGCUAAUACCGCAUGUGAUCAUCGGGUUUAGAAGCUGAUGAUUAAAGGAGUAAUUCGCUUUAGGAGGGACCUGCGUCCCAUCAGCUAGUUGGUGAGGUAACGGCCCACCAAGGCUUCGACGGGUAGGGGACCUGAGAGGGUGGUCCCCCACACUGGCACUGAAACACGGGCCAGACACCUACGGGUGGCAGCAGUAGGGAAUAUUGGGCAAUGGGCGAAAGCCUGACCCAGCAACGCCGCGUGCGCGAUGAAGGUCUUCGGAUCGUAAAGCGCUUUUCUGAGAGAUGAGAAAGGACAGUAUCUCAGGAAUAAGUCUCGGCUAACUACGU